rnacentral:snoRNA from 1 species
GGCCUCCUUGUGCUUACCACAGGCUGUGUUCCUACACUGACUGUAUAGAAAGAGGAGGCAGAAUGACCUACCCUGUGUACACCUCAGCUUAGGCCACCAUGCUUGGUCUGUAUUGUGAAUGGGUAGACAGUG